UGGUGGCAAUUUUUGACCGAUUUUCAGAAAUCAAAUUUUUGGCAACAGAAAAUUACUGCACUCAUCUGCACAGUUGUUCUCAGUCAACAUACAAGCUGUACAGCGUGUUUAACAAAGGACAAAUAUAGUACUCCUCACGAAGAGUACAACCAUACCUAUACUGUACUCACUUGAAGUGAGUAGUUGCCAUUUUAGCUUAUUUUAAGCUAGAUUUAGCAUAUUUUAAAAUGAAAUAGCUUGAAAAAUACUUGAAAUGCAUAUAGCUUAAAAUCUGGCUUAUUUCAAAUUUAAUUUAGCUAAUUUUGGCUUAAAAAAAUUGUAUUAUAAUUUUUGGUAAUUUUUAUCGAUAAUUUGGACAAAAGCAUAUUUUGUUGUUGGUAUUUUAAUAAUAAUCGUUAGCAAGUCUCGGUCACACUGAAAUUUUGCACAUGUUUGAUUUGCGAUUGUUGUUGCGUCGUUUUAGAAACAUGCCGAAAGUGACUUACAAACAGAAUUUCCGCGAUUCUUGGUUAAAUUUCGAAGAAUUGCCAAAGUGCCAACUGACUCCACAAAAGCGUACUGCUGCUUUUGUAAGGUGUCGAUUGGGGCCAAGUUAUUUGAGUAUGAACAUUGUUAAAUCAAAAAUGCGCAACAAAAUGUCUUUAAAAAGCUUAAACGCAAUUUUAAGAAUAAGAUAUGGACUGCGACGUCAUGGAAAAUGUUGCCAUGAGUACCAACUGCUAACAAAAUACCUCGCUUUAAUACAAUCUUCGGCAAAAUAUAAUGAAUCUAAUGAGGAAGUUGAUAAAAUUAUUUCUUUAAUUUAAUAGUUAUAUAAAUAUCGUAUUAUUAAAAGUAAAAAAAUCAACUA